UUCCAGAACAUCAACUUGAGGAAAUUCAAUGACCUGACAAGUCUGCAGCCUUAGUCUCCAGCUGAAUCCAGUUUUUGAUUAAAUGGAUUGUGUGAGCUACAUCUGCAUUGCGUGAAUGAGAAAUUAGCACCUUACCUGGAGCACUGCAAGCCCCACACCUGCAGGCUGUGCCUGGAGCCCCAUUGGAAGGGUGGCAAUGCCAGCUGCUCCUGCAGGAAAGGAAAUCACCCUCCAGUCUCUGACAGCUCAGUGGUGUUGGCCAACAGCCCCCAAAACACUGCUACAAGCAAAUUUUUAUGUACCAAAGGGUUUCCCACAUUUGGUGAGACAUGGACUUGACAAGAUGAUGAGCAAGUGGAUGGAAGCUGUCUGGACACUUCAGAGGUUGUGAUCAGUGGCACAGAGUCGUGGCUGAUCACUGGUGUCAGCUCCCAGAGGGGGAUACUGAUGCCAAUUCCAUGUGAAGUCUCCAUCAUCAGCUGGAAUGGUGGGCUAGAGACACACUCACAGAAAAUUCACUGUAUGAAUCCAUGGUGGGGGAUAAAUUUGGUGUGCUGGAGAGGGCAGGCUGAUAUUCAGAGGAGAAGAGGGAUGGACUGCAGGCCAUCAGCACAUCAGGGAAGUGCCAGAUCCAGUCCCUGGGCUGGGGUCACCCUGCAGGAGCAUCAUCUGGGCAGAGAAACACCUUUGGAGAGCAGGACACAGGGGCUCUGGGUGUAGCAGGCUUAUUUGAUUCUUCAGAAUUCCCACUCCACUGUUAACCUUUUCAAACUCAAGCAUAGUAAUAAU